UACAGAGGUCUCGAGCGUUUGUUCGGGAUUCAUUGGGCGUAAAGGGUGCGUAGGCGGCGCGGUAAGUCGGGUGUGAAAUCUCGGAGCUUAACUCCGAAACUGCAUUCGAUACUGCCGUGCUUGAGGACUGGAGAGGAGACUGGAAUUUACGGUGUAGCGGUGAAAUGCGUAGAUAUCGUAAGGAAGACCAGUGGCGAAGGCGGGUCUCUGGACAGUUCCUGACGCUGAGGCACGAAGGUCAGGGGAGCAAACGGGG
rnacentral:rRNA from 1 species